UUUCCGUAGGUGAACCUGCGGAAGGAUCAUUUAUAAUAAGUGUUUUAUGGCACUUUUUUAAAUCCAUAUCCACCUUGUGUGCAAUGUCAGGGUUGAUUUUUCUCUCGAGAGGAUCAACCCCAAACAUCAACUAUAUCUCAACUCUUUGUCCGAAAAAUAUUAUGAAUAAAACAAUUCAAAAUACAACUUUCAACAACGGAUCUCUUGGCUCUC
rnacentral:misc_RNA from 1 species